GCCUGGGUGGCUCAGUCGGUUAAGCGGCCGACUUUGGCUCGGGUCAUGAUCUCUCGCGGUCCGUGGGUUCGAGCCCCGCGUCAGGCU
rnacentral:tRNA from 1 species